GAUUUCUGGCUUGAAACAUUUUGCCGGCCACGGUUUCGUGUGUUAGUGCUUGAUGUUCUGGCCAUCCUUCCAAUUGCUAUUGGUUGCUCUUCAUUGAGUAGUCAGUAGUAUUGGAUCUUUUACUUUGAAAAAAUUAGAGUGUUUCAAGCAGGCUUUAUGCUAUGAAUACAUUAGCAUGGAAUAAUAAUUUAGGACUUCGGUUCUAUUUUGUUGGUUUCUAGGACUGAAGUAAUGAUUGAUAGGGAUAGUUGGGGGUGCUAGUAUUCAGCGGCCAGAGGUGAAAUUCUCGGAUUCGCUGAAGACUAACUUAUGCGAAAGCAUU
rnacentral:rRNA from 1 species